rnacentral:rRNA from 1 species
GACGUAGGGCGCGAGCGUUGUCCGGAUUUAUUGGGCGUAAAGAGCUCGUAGGCGGCUUGUCGCGUCGUCCGUGAAAACCCACAGCUCAACUGUGGGCUUGCGGUCGAAUACGGGCAGGCUAGAGUUCGGUAGGGGAGACUGGAAUUCCUGGUGUAGCGGUGAAAUCCGUAGAUAUCUGGAGGAACAUCGGAGGCGAAGGCGGCCAACUGGCGAUGCAUUGACGCUAAGGUGCGAAAGCGCGGGGAGCAAACAG